rnacentral:rRNA from 1 species
UCGAUGUCGGCUCAUCACAUCCUGGGGCUGAAGCCGGUCCCAAGGGUAUGGCUGUUCGCCAUUUAAAGUGGUACGCGAGCUGGGUUUAGAACGUCGUGAGACAGUUCGGUCCCUAUCUGCCGUGGACGUUUGAGAUUUGAGAGGGGCUGCUCCUAGUACGAGAGGACCGGAGUGGACGAACCUCUGGUGUUCCGGUUGUCACGCCAGUGGCAUUGCCGGGUAGCUAUGUUCGGAAAAGAUAACCGCUGAAAGCAUCUAAGCGGGAAACUUGCCUCAAGAUGAGAUCUCACUGGGAACUCGAUUCCCCUGAAGGGCCGUCGAAGACUACGACGUUGAUAGGCUGGGUGUGUAAGCGUUGUGAGGCGUUGAGCUAACCAGUACUAAUUGCCCGUGAGGCUUGACCAUAUAACACCCAAACA